ACUUUUUGGAGAGGGUCCUGCUGAAAGAAGAGAAAGGUUAAGAAAUAUCCUCUCAGUCGUCGGUACUGAUGCCUUGAAAAAGACCAAAAAGGAUGAUGAGAAGUCUAAGAAGUCCAAAGAAGAGGUAGAACAUGUUUUUAACUUCACAGUAUAAACAUGAAGGAAAUGAGGGGAUAGGUCUCUCGUUUUCUGCUUUCAAUGUUUUGCUUUGCUAAGAUGUUGGAGGGAAAUGUCUUUGAAGGCUCUACCAUUCAAGAAUAGUUGCUGGCAGUAGUUUUGGUUCCUUUGUAAGUAUGAAUGGAGCUAAGUGAGUUUUCCAGUCAGGAAAGAAUCAUAGCAUUCCUGGCAUAACCAUCUAAUUACAUAUCAUAGAAAAAAAAUACAGUAGAAAGUCCUGUGCCUGAUUUCAUCCUAUUACCGAACGAAUUCACCUUCCUUCUGGGCAGUUAAAAUGGAGAAAUGACAGUUAUAAGAGGAGUAGAAUGCUUCAGACUUGACCUUUCUGCUCUUAAUUUGUCUUUCAGUAUCAGCAAACCUGGUAUCAUGAAGGACCAAAUAGCUUGAAGGUG
rnacentral:sRNA from 1 species